GGCCAGGUAGCUCAGUUGGUAGAGCAGCGGACUGAAAAUCCGCGUGUCGAUGGUUCGAUUCCGUCCCUGGCCACCA
rnacentral:tRNA from 12 species